rnacentral:tRNA from 1 species
GAGGUAUUAGUAAAAAUUACAUGAUCCUGUCAAAAUCAAAUUAUAGGUGAAAGCCCUGUAUAUCUCC